CCUCGGAUGGAACGAGGAGGAGCUCUCGCGACCACGGCAGUAAGGUCAACGCGCGGCAACUUGAGGCAACCGGGGGAUGAUCGUGGGCGACAUCAUCUGACGCCAGCAAUGCAGCUUGCUAAUACUCCUGUUCGAAGACCAUGGAAAUUGAAAAAGAACUUCAGCUGACCACGGUACUCAGCUCAGGAACCGCAGAAUUGGUCAUGCAAGUCAAAGCCGGGACGGCCAAGCAAUGCAAGCUGACACAACAAGCCACAGUAGUUUGUUGCUUUCCUGCUAAUGCUACUUCCACUGGUUAGCAAAAAGUUGGUGUUUCAGACAUUGCUUUUUCACAGGGCAUGCAUCUCAAAACAACGAGCCGAAUUUGAAUGUGAGUA